AUGACUUCGGAAGGAGAAGGCAAGAGAAACGGGUUGCCAGGGUCCCCGAGGAGCGCGCAGGUGGCCCUACCCCGACGCCUCCCCACAGAUUCUAAGCAGAAGAGAACCAAACCUGGAUGGACUAGACUGGAAGGAGAAAAAGGCUUCUUGGAGGGCAUGGCACGUGAGCUGGGCAGGAUCCUGGGAGAGAGGUCACUGUUGUGGAGACUUUCUGGGUGUCUGCUCAUCCCGCAGUACCUUCUUCAAAACUGUCCCUGUCCACCUGAGCAGUGGACACAUUGGUGGGUAUCUGCACUCUUGCCUAUGUUUAGAGAACUCCCCACAGCACGGGUUCUGGUGGAAGGUGGGGUCCACUUCCCAGUAUGAAGCAGCAAAGGCCAGAUGGGCCUCAUGUUCUCAUCAUCCAGUGGCAAUGAGGUGCCUGCUUAUGACUUCAGCUCAACCAAUCAGACAUUCCCACUGGGACAUUUCCUCUGCAGCUGGUGAUACAAAGAAGCAGGGACAAGAGAAUCCAUUCUGGUAUCUGUUGGGAGUGGGAAGGAGUUAGGGGGACAUACCCACUGCCCAGGGGAAUGUUGGCUACAAUGCCAGUGAGCCGUCUCACCAUUGAUAGGGAUGCAAACUGCCCAGUCCAGCUUUUGGGGGUACUGGCAACAACAUCCCAACAAAACCACUUCUUUUUUUGAAAUAUUUUAUUUAUUCAUUCAUUAGAGACACACAGAGAGAGAGAUAGAGGCAGAGACACAGGCAGAGGGAGAAGCAGGCUCCAUGCAGGGAGCCCAACGUGGGACUCGAUCCCAGGACUCCAGGAUCAGACCCUGGGCUGAAGGCAGGCACUCAGCCUCUGAGCCACCCAGGCGUCCCCCAACAAAACCACUUCUGUGAUGCAACUGAGGCCAUAGUUCUAGCUGAUUACCCUCUCCUGUCCUGGCUUGUUUUCCAACUCUGAAAAUUCUGUGAUCUAAUUUCUAUCCUUCCAAUAAAUUUCUUUUCUGCUCACA
rnacentral:lncRNA from 1 species